GAAAACCACGGUGGUACAGGAUGGGCCCGCGUCUGAUUAGUUAGUUGGCAGGGUAACGGCCUACCAAGACAACGAUCAGUAGCCGGCUUGAGAGAGUGGACGGCCACAUUGGGACUGAGACACGGCCCAGACUCCUGCGGGAGGCAGCAGUGGGGAAUAUUGCACAAUGGGGGGAACCCUGAUGCAGCAAUGCCGCGUGGGUGAAGAAGCACUCCGGUGUGUAAAGCCCUGUCAGCAGGGAAGAAAAUGACAGUACCUGGACAAGAAGCCCCGGCUAACUACGUGCCAGCAGCCGCGGUAAUACGUAGGGGGCAAGCGUUAUCCGGAUUUACUGGGUGUAAAGGGAGCGCAGGCGGCGUGGCAAGUCAGAUGUGAAAACCCGGGGCCCAACCCCGGGAGUGCAUUUGAAACUGCCAUGCUGGAGUGCCGGAGAGGUAAGCGGAAUUCCUAGUGUAGCGGUGAAAUGCGUAGAUAUUAGGAGGAACACCAGUGGCGGAGGCGGCUUACUGGACGGUAACUGACGCUGAGGCUCGAAAGCGUGGGGAGCAAACAGGAUUAGAUACCCUGGUAGUCCACGCCGUA
rnacentral:rRNA from 1 species